UAAAAACAAUCGCUAAUACAUUUAUAUUUGACAUAGUGACUAAGAAUUCCAACUUCGUCAACUACGGUUCGAAAAACAGUAUUAAAGAAAAAACGAGUAUUUUAUAAUUUUCGUUUUCCCGCCGUUCGCAGUCUAAUUCCCAGACCCUGCGAUCCUCGGGAAGGAACGUGAGGCUCUGGGAUAAUCCGUUGCCGAAAGCCAGGAAUCCUGGCUAAGAUUGAACUGCGGAUUCCAUUUCAACGGCCAUAUAGAUUUCUCCUUGAAACGGAUUAUUCCAGAGCCUCACGUUCCUUCCCGAGGAUUGCAGGCUUGUGGAAUUAGAUUGCGCCGUUCGAAGCGAAGUGGCGAACCGCGUAAGCCCGGGGAAAGGGUACUAACUCCGAUGGGAUAUUUACGUACAUCCGGAAUCCCAGAUAAUGUGAUCAAUCAUAGCAGAGUUUAUAACUAACUUUUACUAAUAGAUGGCAGACUAUUUUUUGAAAAGUUGCUUAUUUCAGUAUUUAUUCAAAAAGAAGCCAAAAAGAGCCAAAAAAUAGAAAGAAGCCAAACGAAAUUUUUAGUAGCCAAACGAAGUCAAAAAAAGCCAAAAUCGAGAAAUUUGGCUCUUUUAACGCCAAACUGGCAACCCUGGCUAAAUUUUCUUCUUUCGCCCUUUCCGUGAGCCUCUACGCGCCCACUUCUGGCCGCGCGCCCGCUCUUAAAAAGCGACUGGGGACGAGUCUAGUGAAGGGACUUCAGACUUCAAACUUCAAACAUUGGUUCCGAG